rnacentral:rRNA from 1 species
CAGCAGCCGCGGUAAUUCGGAGUGUGCAAGCGUUACUCGGAAUCACUGGGCAUAAAGAGCACGUAGGCGGGGAUGCGUGUCCGUGGUGAAAUCCCCCAGCUCAACUGGGGAACUGCUUCGGAAACUGUGUCUCUUGAGGACGAGAGGGGAGAGUGGAACUUCUGGUGGAGCGGUGAAAUGCGUAGAUAUCAGAAGGAACACCGGUGGCGAAAGCGACUCUCUGGCUCGUAUCUGACGCUAAGGUGCGAAAGCUUGGGUAGCAAACAGGAUUAGAUACCCUGGUAGUCCAAGCCGUAAACGAUGGGCACUAGGCAGGGGGGGUUCCGAUAUUCUCCCUGCUGGAGCUAAUGUGUUAAGUGCCCCGCCUGGGAAGUACAGUCGCAAGGCCGAAACUUAAAGGAAUUGACGG